CAUUGCUGGAACGCGCCCCAGGCGCACCCAGAAACCCUUUGUGAACUUAUACCUUACUGUUGCCUCGGCGCAUGCCGGCCCCCCUGGGGGCCCCUCCUUCUGGAGGAGCAGGCACGCCGGCGGCCAACCCAACUCUUGUUUUUACACUGAAACUCUGAGAAUAAAACAUAAAUGAAUCAAAACUUUCAACAACGGAUCUCUUGGUUCUGGCAUCGAUGAAGAACGCAGCGAAAUGCGAUAAGUAAUGUGAAUUGCAGAAUUCAGUGAAUCAUCGAAUCUUUGAACGCACAUUGCGCCCUCUGGUAUUCCGGAGGGCAUGCCUGUUCGAGCGUCAUUUCAACCCUCAAGCCUGGCUUGGUGAUGGGGCACUGCUUCUUACCCAAGAAGCAGGCCCUGAAAUUCAGUGGCGAGCUCGCCAGGACCCCGAGCGCAGUAGUUAAACCCUCGCUCUGGAAGGCCCUGGCGGUGCCCUGCCGUUAAACCCCCAACUUCUGAAAAUUUGAC
rnacentral:rRNA from 1 species